GAGGGCCGGGAGCUGGAGUCGGUCUCGAAGUAGAAGAGCAUGUUCUGCAGCAGCGCGAACCACUUGGUGUGCCAUUUUGUGUUGUCGGAGCUCCGCUUGCUCAGGUAGCCCUUCCUGGCGCCGUCCUUCUUCGCCAGCAGCCCCAGGUUCUGCCUUUAUGCUUCCUUCCCUGAGCUGAGCCAGUGAAGCUGCAGCUCUCCCUGGCCAAACGCUGCCAGCCUGGAGCCCGCUCACAUCAGAGAAAAGCAUGGCGUACGGCGUCCUGGCACCGGGGUGGCUCCUGUGCCCUGGGGACACCAUGCUGUCACUCUGGGAAGGUGCUGGGCUCCAGGAGGGAUGAGGUGCCCCACGCAUCCCGUGGCUGACCAAUGGUGGGAGCUGGAGCUUGGCCAGAAGCAGGAACGCCUGCUGAGCUGCGGGGCUGGAGCCUGCGGCACUGAGGAGGGGAACAGAGCUCAGCCCCAGCCCCACCGCCUGCCCGAGCCCUUCUCCAGCCACCUCCUGGCAGGCACUGCCCUUCCCUGGCUACACGCCUGCUUCUCCCACUGCACUGUGAACCAGAGACUUCCCUCCUGCCCACACAAGCGAUGGCUCCUGGUGCCAAGGACCCGCCUGCAGCCAAUGCCUGAGGUGGCAUCGUCGUCUUGGAACCCGCUCAGCGACACGUGCAGAAGAUGGGCUUUGUGCGCGCAUGGCUCCGAGGGCGAAGGACUUUUUCAUCAGCCAGGAGUCUGAAAAAACUUGUCAGAGGAGGGAAUUCAAGAUGCUCCAAGAGGUGCUGUGGCACGCUGGGCUGGAGGAGCUGCACUCCCACUGCAAAGUGUUCUCCCAUCUAGUGGCUAAAAUAAAAACCAUUGGUGCAGCCUGGGCAGGGUGAGGAGCACUCGCUGGGGUCAGCGGGCUGCAGCCUGGCCAGGAGCAGCCGUGCUGGGCAGGGUGAGUGCCACCGGCCCCACCACCGACAUGGAUGUCCCUUUUCAUCUCUGGAGCCCUGCUUCCCUGCCAGCACCCAGCCACCGGCACUGGAGCUGAGCAGACGGAAGAGUGACAUUUGCAGGAAGUGCUGUGGGGGGAGAGGGACGUAUAAACCAGGGUUCCUCACCAGCACGAAGAUGCUACGAGUUCAUCAGGCUAAUUUGUCACUUAGAACUAAGUUCUCCGCGGUGGGUGUCAGGAAGGGGCUGGCUGCACAUGACCCCCGGCUGCCAGCAAGUCGGCUACGCUGCAGAAAUCAUGUAUUUGUUGACAUUUUUUAAACGGAAAGCUUAAGGACUGUUAUUAUGCUGUGCAAAAUUAUUUCAGCAGCCCUUUGAACCACUAAGCUAUUCUCUGGGAAUCUCGACACCGGGGAUGACAAAGUGGUAAUUUAUGCCAGCAGCUCUCGCUCACUCUCGAGCCCGCAGAGAGGGCUGCUGGCACAGCUCCUCGCUCCUCAUCGUGCAGUGCUUGGGUGCCAGCUUCUUCACCUGAGAUACAGGGAGGGAAAAGAGUUGCCUUCCCACAUUUCAUCAAGUCAUGGCUUGCUUGGGUCCUUCCCCUCCUGGAAGGACUACGGAGCAGAGUGAGGCAUGGCAGCAUUUUACCUGUCGGGGACCCGCAUUUGCAGGGAGCAGCUCCGAGGCCACCAAACCCCAGUGGCCCCUUCAGCCCCGUAGCAGAUGAAGCAGCCAGCGAGAAUAACUGCACUGCCUGGAAAAGACACGCCAGCUUUCUGCUGGGGGAGGCUACACAGCCCAGGCGGGAGCUCCGGGAAUGACGGCUCGGCAGCAGGAAUUGCAGUGCCGUGGGCAUGCUGCUGCCAGGACAGACGGGGAGAGCAGAGGCUGGGGACAUCUCUCCUCCCAGUGCUCAGGCCCAGCCUUGGGUGCCCCCAGGCUUCCUCAGUGUCACCCUGCCACCGGGCUGUGCCGGGGGGUGUGCAGUCCCUCGGCACUGAUUGGGGCUGGCAGAGGCAAUGCUAACCAUGUUGUUGGGCUGACUGCCUCGUCUUCCAGCCCAAGAGCUCGUGGAUUUGCUCUCUCCACAAAUCAUUUUGCUGCUCUGGGAAGCUACAGUCUCUUCCGGGUAACUGUGAGCCGCCCAGUGUGGUCCCAGCCGAACCGUGGCCAGGUAACACAGUGCCCACCAUGCUCACUGGGGCCACCAUGAUGUUGGGAUGAUCCCUGCCUGCCUGGUGCUUCAAGGCCAGCAGCGCAUCUCCCAGCAGCCCUGGCCGCAAUGGGCAGCUCCUGUUACCGCAGGGACAGCCGCUCCCCUGCUGUCCCCUGGGUAUACCAGUCCAGCGGUGGAUCCGGCUGCUCUGCAGUGCCAUGGGUCUCCACUGGAUCUAUGCAUCCCGGCUGGCCUCAGCCAUCCCUGUGACACUUUGCUCCACUAGGACAAUGAUACGGCAUCUGCCCAGCCCAGCAAGACCACCAGGUACCUGGGCACAGACAAAAAUUGUCCCCAUCCCGUGGCAGGGUCGGGCAGAGGGGAGAGGUGCCAAGCAACCUGCUGCAGCACCCUGAGCCGCUGCCCCCUGGGCUCAAGAAGGAUGUGCAUCACUCAUGGCCAGGCCCCACAUUAAGCAUGUGUGAUCGCCUAAAGUGAAUCAUUAAUAUCUCCAUGGAGCGUUCCCAGGGGAGCACACAGCAGCCGCCGCCGGGGCCACAUCCCGCAUGGGAGCCGGGGCUGCCACAAGCACAGCCACUGCCAGCACCAUGUGUGCCGGGCACCCAAGUGCACCGGGGAGCUGUUAUGGGGAUGGGAGCUCUGCCGCUGCCGGCAAUUUGUGUCAAGAGCAGCACCACACUGGGCUUCCUGAGCUGCCGCAGGAAGGCUCACUUAGCGCACAUACAGCAGUGAUUUGGUAACCGAACGUUAUUUUUAGGCAUUUCUGAGACAAACUGGAGUGUUUUACAAGCCUCUCUGAAUGUAUUACAGCUAAAAUGUAUUUUAUAUAUUUGUGUGAUGCUGUACUUCACAGGCCAGGGGUCCCUGCUGUUACAUACAAUAUUUGCCACGAUAGACAGAACAACGCUGAAACCUCCCCUGAAAAUCACAGCUGCAGGCUUUUGAAGACAUUUCCUGCCCCUACAGGUACAAAGUAUUUUCAGGUACAAACAUCCCCACUCACCCUGUGUCUGACUUUAUUACUCCACGUUUGACUGGCAGCUUCCACGCUGCAGGUCACAGCAUUGCCAGCCGCUGCUGAAUGCCCAGAGCAGGAGCUGGGCUGUGCCACCAGUGCCCAGCCCCGUGCACAGCACCCCCAGCCCUGCACCAGUGCCCUAGGCAUCCCCUGGAAACCACCCCAUAUCCCUGGGGGAGCACCCCGCGUCCCCAGGAAAGCACCCCACAUCCCUAGGGGAGCACCCCCUGUCCCAGGGGAGUGCCCUGGCACGUGGCAGCCCGGGGUGGCUGGACAGAGAGCAGCCCCGGCCAUGGCUUUGGGGCUGGGAAGGAGGGACACGUGCCCCUCUGGCCCUGGGAACAAGGGGUGGGUGGUGGUGACAGCUUUCACAGGCAGCUGCCCACCCAGGGCAAGCACAGUGCAGGCUCACGCCGGGACGGGUGAAGAGCCUUGCACCACCUCGUGCUAAAGCUCUCCUGAGCUCCAGUGCAUGGCGGGGGGGCUGCAGUGCCAGCACCUCAGCCCCCACCCUGAGACAGGAGGUGACACAGAGAGAGGGCACAAAGCAGGCAAACCUCGACUCCCCCGGUUACGGCCAGGGAGGGGGAUGCCUUGCAGCAACCUCCUCAAUGGCGUCCUCGUGACCUCCUCAAUGUUGUCCCCUCUCCCUCCCACUGAUCUGGGUGCUGUUGGCAGCUCUGAGCCUCUGCCAAGCCUCCCACAGAAACAGGAUUAGAUAUUAAAGAGUUGCAUCAUUUGCAGGAGUCUACAGGCUCCUUUGCAUAUCAGAGCCAUAAGGACCUGCAGUUAGAUGGGAGCUGGAAGGAAAAUGGACAGCUCUAGCUGCGGGCUGAACCGAGCAUUGUCCCAGGGUGGAGAAUGGACAGAAUAAAUGGUAGCACUUCUAAAUA